rnacentral:rRNA from 1 species
GUCGGAUUAGCUAGUAGGUAGGGUAAAGGCCUACCUAGGCGACGAUCCGUAGCUGGUCUGAGAGGAUGAUCAGCCACACUGGGACUGAGACACGGCCCAGACUCCUACGGGAGGCAGCAGUGGGGAAUUUUGGACAAUGGGGGCAACCCUGAUCCAGCCAUUCCGCGUGAGUGAAGAAGGCCUUCGGGUUGUAAAGCUCUUUCGGACGGAACGAAACGGUCAGGACUAAUACUUCUGACUAAUGACGGUACCGUAAGAAGAAGCACCGGCUAACUACGUGCCAGCAGCCGCGGUAAUACGUAGGGUGCGAGCGUUAAUCGGAAUUACUGGGCGUAAAGCGUGCGCAGGCGGUUAUUUAAGACAGGUGUGAAAUCCCCGGGCUUAACCUGGGAAUUGCGCUUGUGACUGGAUAGCUAGAGUGCGGCAGAGGGGGGUGGAAUUCCACGUGUAGCAGUGAAAUGCGUAGAGAUGUGGAGGAACACCGAUGGCGAAGGCAGCCCCCUGG